rnacentral:tRNA from 1 species
GCUGAGUUAGUUUAAGUUUUUUUUUUGAAAAUUGAAUGUUAGGGGCAUUUAGAUUAUUUUUCAGUU